UUAGGGACCAGUCAUUAUUUAUGGUGGGGGGUGGCACCGAAGAGAAAUGUUUUUUGUCGGAAAAAUUUUGCUGACCCAACCAUUAAAAAGUCAAAAAUUUGAUUACCCAACCUCAAAUAUCAAUUAAAAAAUAAAUACCCACCCCUGGCCAAAACCUUUACAAAAGGAUACCAUUCAGUUGUCACACAUGUUCUUUUAAUUGCCACUUUUGUGACAUGAGUUUGAUAACGGCUUGUGAAAUUUUCUGCAAUCUUAACUUUCAUAUUGUCUGCACAUGUAGUUUCUUUGGAGACACCAUUUGUCUCCUGAAAAAUCGGAAAAUGAUGAAGAUAGUGACUUGAUUCACAUAUUGUAUUGACAUAUGAUUGUUGACAUUGCUUUUUAGUCUCCAAUAUUUCAGUGAGUCAUGCUUUGGAAAUGACAAUAUUUUUUUAUUACCCAACCCUUGAGUUGUUUUGUUUUUCAUUUACCCAACCGUUUACUUACUUAAAAUUUUGUUUACCCAACCCUUUUCUCUUCGGUGCCACCCCCAGCCAUAAAUAAUGACCGGUCCCUUA